rnacentral:lncRNA from 1 species
ACGCCUUUUCAACUAUUAUUUGCUUGUUUUAUUUUUAAGAUAAUCAUUUUUUAUUUUUCUCACGAUAGAUUACAAAAAUAAGCCCAUAUCGUAGUUUCUUUGUUUCUUAUAAAGAUUUGAGUUGAUGGUUGUUUGUCCACUCAAUUGAGAACCCUAGGCUCUCCUAUAUAGCUAUGAAAUGAAUGUAAUUGCACCCUUUUGAUAUUACAGAUAUAUGUAUCACGGUCCUUUGACUGAACCGAUGUAUAUUUUGAGAUAGUUAUAUUGAGAUCAAACUUUGAAGUAAAAACAAAAGUGU